rnacentral:lncRNA from 1 species
ACACACAAACCAAGUUGUAAAAAAUCUAGCUACAUCAUCGUAUGAAGAAUUCAACCUUAUAAUUCCAGAAACGGCCUCUGUUCUGACCACUAAAUAUUUGAAGAAGUAAAUGAUGGUGACUUCAUUUCAUGAAUAUGCCUUGAGUUCACAAGUGGCAGACCCUGUUGUUCCAAACCUAUUGCAAAGGGUAAAAGGGAAAUCCCAAGGGACAAAAAUUAUAAACCUCAUCAUGGACCAGAAACAGACCACAAAGGCCAACUGGCAGGAGGAGCUAAGCCACAGGCUGCUGGAAUCCAGAGCUAUGAGCCAAUGGUGCCUGGAGUUUGAUA